GAGUUUGAUCCUGGCUCAGGAUGAACGCUAGCGGCAGGCUUAACACAUGCAAGUCGAGGGGUAGAGUUAGCUUGCUAACUUGAGACCGGCGCACGGGUGCGUAACGCGUAUGCAAUCUACCUUGUACAGGGGGAUAGCCCAGAGAAAUUUGGAUUAAUACCCCAUAGUGUAACGGAAAGGCAUCUUUUUGUUACUAAAGUUCCAACGGUACAAGAUGAGCAUGCGUCCCAUUAGCUAGUUGGUGUGGUAACGGCAUACCAAGGCAACGAUGGGUAGGGGUCCUGAGAGGGAGAUCCCCCACACUGGUACUGAGACACGGACCAGACUCCUACGGGAGGCAGCAGUGAGGAAUAUUGGUCAAUGGGCGCAAGCCUGAACCAGCCAUGCCGCGUGCAGGAUGACGGUCCUAUGGAUUGUAAACUGCUUUUGUACAGGAAGAAACACUCCCUCGUGAGGGAACUUGACGGUACUGUAAGAAUAAGGAUCGGCUAACUCCGUGCCAG
rnacentral:rRNA from 1 species